GGUUGUGUAACGAGCGAUCGUUGUCAGUAAUUUUAAUAAGUCACCUGAGCUUAUUAAUAAAGUAGAGACUGCUUUAAUAAUGUAUAUGAGUUGCUCUGACUGUGUAUAGUAAACGUGCUUAAAGAUAUAAUCGCCUAGGCGGAAUAUGCAAUGAGGGAACAAUUAUAUAACGAGGAUAAUGCCGAAUUUACUGGUGGCGAUCGCCUCGAGUUGAUAUGUGGAAGUCUUAAUGUAUGACUUACGUGUGGAGGUGGGGUUAGGAUGACCAUUACCUGGAUCCCUACAAGAUUUUACGGGGUCUUGAGGAUUGUAUUGUUGCGUCUUGAUACUGAGGAUUGAUGUAUUACAGGCGUAUUUGUGACUUGUGGUUGGUACAACUCAUAUGAAUUGUCUAUGCACUUGAAGAGUGGUUGUCCUUAAUGACUAAGAAAAUGAGUUGAGUGUAUUGAGGAUCUGACGUGGAAUACAUGGGACUCAUCAAGAGGGGUUGUAGCGUUGCGCCAUAUCAUCUCACUAGUAAUACCCAUGUGCGUCACCUGCAUAUCUCAGUUCCCAGCGAGAUAUUGCAAUGAGUGGAAUUAGUGUCCCUAAAUUACUCUAUUGGCUGAAGUCCUAUAUAGUGGCAUACCUAUAGAGUAUUGCAUAUUGCAUAUUGCAUGGUACAUGAUGAUUUCGCAGAUGUCCCCCUCAUGUAUGGAGUUGAUCUCCCUUAUCUUAUUUUAUUUUGCCAUCCUGUCAUGCGCUUCGCUGCUGUUCUAAUGGAUACCAUUAUUCUGAGGAAAGUUAUAUUGUAAUCAGUGGUAUUAUCGGGAGUUGCAAUUGCGCUGUAUGUUGAUAUCCUAGUGAUUAAAUUCUCAAUAAUAAAUUGCUGAGUAAUUUAGACGGGAAUCGGUUACGUUGAAUUAAAGGACCGAAUUACUAUGAUAUCAUUAUUAUAUUGUGCAUUCUGUUUGCGGGAAUGCAAGGAUUAUGUAAUUAUGAUCGAAUUAAAUCUCAUAUUUAGUUGGUGAUUGUUUUUAAUAAUUAUAUUAUUAAUUAUUAAGUUUGAGCAGUCAACGCUCCGUCUGCGUACCCUGUUGAAUUGCUCUUAUGGAAUAUGUAUGUAAUACGUAAGUUAUAGUUGAGACCAGCAAUCGGGAUACUCAGCUUCUCGGCUGUGUUGCGCCUACUAGUGUUCUGCGAUCUUGCAGUUGAUUACCUUUUACUGCGGUGCAUCCCUGUCUGUUCGUAUAUUGAAUGACAGACAAUUAUUGAGCUAUUGAAUGACAGACAGUUAUAAUGUGGAGAUUUCACUAGAGUGAAUCUAGUGAGAUUACUGAAUUUGAAUCCACUGAGCACUUUUAUGAGGUUUUUGACAGUUGGGAUUAGCGAGUUCGAAUUUACAAUACAUAAUUGCUGAUUUGCGAAGAUCUAUGUGACCGAUGGUUAUAAUUUUGGUUUUUUGAACUACUAAUCUGCGUAUUACUGUUGGCUUAUGUUUGUCCUGAUUUGAAGUGGAUGUCUAACUACUGCUGAUGUGAACUGUCUAUGUCUAUUUCUUUUGAAUCCUCCCUGACGGUAGUACACAAAUAGAUGAAUAAGCUGGUGCGAUGGCCUAUUUGGGAAAUUAAGUGGAGAGAGGGAUUUAUAGACGGAUCAGUAGUAUUUGAUGCAUUUUAUCUGAUUCAUUUUACGUAUUAUAGAUAUGAAUAAAUGAUUGAUUUGGUGAUGAUUUGUAAAACAAAAGCAAAAGAAAACAAAUAAAUGCGUGUCUAUUUAUUUACCCAAUAACAA